AAGAAAUUUAAGAGGAAAGUCUGGACUUCAUAGGGUAAGAGAGGCAGUUAACGACUGCUGAGAGUAAUCUUAAGGAAAGUGCCACAGAAAAGAAACCGCCUAAAAUUUUUGGGUAAGGGUGAAAAGGUGGUGUAAGAGACCACCAGUAGUUUAAGAGAUUAAAUUAGCUUGGUAAACCCCUCUCGAAGCAAGAAUAAGUAGAGAGCAGUUAAGAGGCGACCCGUCUUUGCUCGAAGGGUAAUUCGCUAAAGUUGAUAAGUAAUUAUCAAUUUAGAUAAAUGAUUAACUAAUACAAAAUCCGGCUUACAC
rnacentral:RNase_P_RNA from 1 species